rnacentral:rRNA from 1 species
UACGGAGGAUGCAAGCGUUAUCCGGAAUGAUUGGGCGUAAAGCGUCCGCAGGUGGCGAUGUAAGUCUGCUGUUAAAGAGUGAGGCUCAACCUCAUAAGAGCAGUGGAAACUACAUAGCUAGAGUGCGGUAGGGGCAGAGGGAAUUCCUGGUGUAGCGGUGAAAUGCGUAGAGAUCAGGAAGAACACCGGUGGCGAAAGCGCUCUGCUAGGCCGCAACUGACACUGAGGCGCGGAAGGCGUGGGGAGCGAACGGG